GCUGGUGCUGAUGAUAAACUUUCUACUGCCGAUAGCGAAGUUCAAGACGAGAACGACAACUAUGAAGGUUAUUCUACUGCUGAUGUUGCUGAUAGACUUUCUGCUGCUGAUAGCGAAGUUCAAGACGAGAUUGACAACUAUGAAGGUUAUUCUACUGCUGAUGUUGCUGAUAGACUUUCUGCCGUCGAUAGCGACAUUCAAGACGAGAGCGACAACUAUGAAG